AUGCAUCUGGGAAUCGCAUUGGUUUUCUGUCUGGGGAUAUAGUGGUUCUCCCCCUGUCCACUUCUGCCAGCAUCGUUCUCUGUUUUCCCCACAAUGUAGGCUGAGAGGAACACCUGUCCUGCACUCUGGGGUCCAGGAAAAUCAUUGAUAGACUCAUGGGAAAGACCAUGUCCUAUGGCAGAAUGGAGGCUAAUUUGGAGGAAAGCUUGGGAGGAAGACAUACUCUACCAUACAGUCCUUUCCUCUUUUCGUGGAUGGCAAAAUGAUACAUCACUUCCCGAAGCUUGUGUUAGAAGAUGCCCCUUCACUGGUAAUUGUACUAAACUCUUCCACAAUAAUUGUGAUCUCAUCUUGGGAUUUACCAAAAAACAUUUAUAGCAUGCCUGAGAAGUCCAGAGCCCUGUUCAGAAUACAGAAGGAGACCUACUCUUCUCUGAUCACAAUAUAAAUGCUACCGACAGAGGACAUGUGGAAAGGUAAAGAAAGUUCCAACAUUCAGUAGGGAGAAUAUUGACACAAGCCUUCCCUCUUUAUGUCCUUUUUAACUCUCCUUUCAGAUUAGGUUUGUGAGGAGAUGAUUUAUAAAAGGUAAUUUGUUGCUCUUUUUUCCCACAGAAAACAUAUACGGUUUUCAUCUUAGUCUCUGCAGGGUAUGUGACCCACAAUAUAUUCAGAAACCUCCAAAAACUGUA
rnacentral:lncRNA from 1 species